GAUGAACGCUAGCGGCAGGCCUAAUACAUGCAAGUCGAGGGGCAACAGGGAGCUUGCUCCGCUGACGAGUGGCGAACGGGUGAGUAAUAUAUCGGAACGUACCCAAGAGUGGGGGAUAACGUAGCGAAAGUUACGCUAAUACCGCAUACGAUCUAAGGAUGAAAGCAGGGGACCGCAAGGCCUUGUGCUCCUGGAGCGGC
rnacentral:rRNA from 1 species